rnacentral:rRNA from 1 species
AACGUAGGAGACAAACGUUAUCCGGAGUUACUGGGCGUAAAGGGCGUGUAGGCGGUAGAGUAAGUCUGGCGUGAAAUUUUUCGGCUUAACCGGGAAAGGUCGUCGGAUACUGCUUAACUAGAGGACGGUAGAGGCGUGUGGAAUUCCGGGUGUAGUGGUGAAAUGCGUAGAGAUCCGGAGGAACACCAGUGGCGAAGGCGACACGCUGGGCCGUACCUGACACUGAUGCGCGACAGCAUGGGGAGCAAACAGG